rnacentral:rRNA from 1 species
GUCCACGCUGUAAACGAUGAGCACUAGGUGUCGUGGGUAUUGACCCCCGCGGUGCCGACGCUAACGCAUUAAGUGCUCCGCCUGGGGACUACGGCAGCAAGGUUAAAACUCAAAGGAAUUGACGGGGGCCCGCACAAGCGGUGGAGCAUGUGGUUCAAUUCGACGCAACGCGAAGAACCUUACCUGGGCUAGACAACGGUGGACCGCCCCAGAGAUGGGGUUUUCCCUUCGGGGACUGCCGGUUCAGGUGCUGCAUGGCUGUCGU